UGAGCCUCUUGUCAGAAAUAAAAUGAGGAGCCUGAGAUAGUUUUUUGUCUUGUUUGAUUUUUUACAGGAAGAGUUAGCUACACUGAUUUGAACCUCUGGAAGAGAUAGAAAAGCAAAAAUAUGGACCUACCCUCAAGGAGCUCACAUUCUAACAGAAGCAACCACAAGCAAAUAGCUAUAUGCAUUCCAGACUUACACAAUGCAAAUGGAAGGAAAUCAUCAGCAUGAUAAUGUCAGAAAAACUGGAAUGACUUACAUGAACUGAUACAAAAUGAAGGAAGCAGAACCAAGGAAAUAUGUUCUUUCUCUGGAUGUGGAUGGUGUUCUUUCUCAUAAGUUCUUCUGGGUUGUCCUGUGUCACUGCACUGCUGCUAAUAAAAAAGUCCAUUACAUUCAAUUGUGCCAUACUGUAUCAGUCUCUAUUUACAAUGUUCUCCUGGUUCUGCUCCUUUCACUCUGCAUUAAUUCCUGGAGGUCUUUCCAGUUCACAUGGAAUUACUCCAGUUCAUUAUUCCUUUCAGCACAAUAAUAUUCCAUCACCAUCAGAUACCAAAAUUUAUUCAGCCUUUCCCUAGUCAAUGGACACCCCCUCAUUUUUCAAUUGUUUGC
rnacentral:lncRNA from 1 species